AAAUCAUGAUGAAGCGGCGAGCUGUAGCUCUAGCCAUGCCCACUAAUGACAUGUCCAUCUAGGCCCGUCUCUGGCGGUUGGGGGAACCAAUAACGCUGUUUGGAGAAGGGGAGAUGGAGCAAUAAGACAAGCUAAGGAUGCUUAUGACAAAGUUGGAUGUUGAAUGGUAGUUAGAGAAAUUGACGAAAGCUCAUGAGAAGGAAGAGGCUGCAGCUACG
rnacentral:misc_RNA from 1 species